CAGAAAAUAGUUUAAUUUAAAAUAUUAAUUUUGGAGAUUAAUGAAAAGACAAAUUCUUUUUUCUGA
rnacentral:tRNA from 1 species